rnacentral:rRNA from 1 species
UACGUAGGUGGCGAGCGUUGUCCGGAUUUACUGGGCGUAAAGAGCGCCGCAGGCGGUCGUCCAAGUCGCGUGUGAAAGCCCCCGGCUCAACUGGGGAGGGUCACGCGAUACUGAUCGACUCGAAGGCAGGAGAGGGGAAGCGGAAUUCCCGGUGUAGUGGUGAAAUGCGUAGAUAUCGGGAGGAACACCAGUGGCGAAGGCGGACUUCCGU